rnacentral:rRNA from 1 species
GACGAACGCCGGCGGCGUGCCUAAUACAUGCAAGUCGAGCGAAGUUUUUCUGGUGCUUGCACCGGAAAAACUUAGCGGCGAACGGGUGAGUAACACGUAAAGAACCUGCCUCAUAGACUGGGACAACUAUUGGAAACGAUAGCUAAUACCGGAUAACAGCAUUAACUGCAUGGUUGAUGUUUAAAAGUUGGUUUUGCUAACACUAUGAGAUGGCUUUGCGGUGCAUUAGCUAGUUGGUGGGGUAAAGGCCUACCAAGGCGACGAUGCAUAGCCGACCUGAGAGGGUGAUCGGCCACACUGGGACUGAGACACGGCCCAGACUCCUACGGGAGGCAGCAGUAGGGAAUCUUCCGCAAAGGGCGAAAGCCUGACGGAGCAACGCCGCGUGAGUGAAGAAGGAUUUCGGUUCGUAAAGCUCUGUUGUUAGGGAAGAAUGAUUGUGUAGUAACUAUACACAGUAGAGACGGUACCUAACCAGAAAGCCACGGCUAACUACGUG